GCCACACUGACCUCCCCACUCACCCCUGGAAUCUCAAAAACACUAAGAGAUUCUCACCCAGCGAACCACCCACUUAUUUUAAUAAUAGCAGCUGCCUUUUGUUGAGCACUUAUUGUGUGCAGGGCUCUGUGCUGAGUACUCUAUAUUUAUUACCUUCCUCGAAAGCCUUGCAACAACCUGGUGAAGGAGAUAAUUCCUCAUGAGGAACAUUAGGCACAGGGGUGAGUGGCAGGAGGGGGACACAAACCUACACUUGCCUGACCCCAACCCCAAGGUCAGAAGCUGUCCCUCCCAUGCUCUGUUGGGCACUUCUGUGCUUGCUGUGCAGCUAGACUGCAAACUGCUGGGGGCCAAUGUUGGCUCUCAGGCUGUUUAUAUUCUUCAGACAGAAUUUUCCUGAAUUAACCAUGCUUGCCUUCUCAGAGCUAAGAGGGCUUUCUCUGGACCUUUCUCCCCAGCUCUUGGACCCCCAGCCCUUGAAAUAGUAUGUCUUCCUCCUUCUCCUCCCUUCUCCCAAGUGAAGCCAGUCCUCCCUGAGCUCCGGAUAUUCACCCCACCCACCCCCACUCUGUAGCAUUUACCCAAAAGGCCUUGCUUUUGAGCUCUCAGUUGUCUCUCCCCUCCCAUGAGUUGCUUCAGGGCUGUGAGCUCCUGGCUGGCUUCUCCCCAUCUGCCUCCCACACAAGAGUACAUAGUAGGCUCAGUGAAUUCAAGGGGAGCUGAUUGAUAGCACUCAGAUUCUAUAUUUCUGUGACCAUAAACCAAGGACUGUCUUUUUUUUCUUGUCUAAAUGACAUUCAUUUUUUUAAAUUUUUAAAUUAAAGUACAGUUGAUUUGCAGUGUUACAUUAGUUUCAGGUGGACAAUAUAAUGAUCCAAUAUUUUUAUAGCUUGUACUCCAUUUAAAGUUUUAUAAAAUAUUGGCUAUAUUCCCUCUGCUGUACUAUGUAUCCUUGGUGCAAUUAUUUUAUGCACGGUAGUUUGCACCUCGUAGUUCCCUCCCCCUAUUUUGCCCCCUCGCAGUCCUCUCCCCAAUGGAAACCACUGGUUUGUUCCCUAUAACUGUGAGUCUGUUUCUGUUUUGUUACCUUCAUUUGUUUGUUUUAGAUUUUAGAUUCCACAUUUAAGUAAUAACAAACAGUAUUUGUCUUUGAUUUCACUAAGCAUAAUACCCUCCGGGUCCAUCCAUGUUGUUGCAAAUGGCAAAAUUUCAUUCCUUUUUAUGGCUGAGUAAUUAAUAUUCCAUCAUAAUUUUAUCUAUAUGUAUAUCUAGCACAUCUUCUUUGUCCAUUCACCUGCCGAUGGACACUUGGGUUGUGUCCACAUUUGGCUAUUGUAAACAAUGCUGCUAUGAACCUUGGGGUGCCUGUAUCUUUCUGAAUUAUUAGUUUCAUUUUCUUCAGAUAUAUACCUGGGAGUGGGAUUGCUGGAUCAUAUGAUAGCUCUAUUUAUAUUUUUUUUGAGGAACCUCCAUACUGUUUUACAUAGUGACUACAGCAAUUUACAUUCCCACCAACAGUGUAUGAGGGUUCCCUUUUCUCCACAUUAUUACCCACAUGUAUUAUUUGUUGUCUUCUUAGCAUUCUUUUUUAUUUAAUUUCCUGAGCACCUACUGUGUGCCAGGGACUGGCUCAGGUGUUAGGAAUUCAGUGGUAAACAAGGUAAAUGGGUUCCCUGCUGCCAUGGACCUUCCUUCUAGUGGGGAAGACAGGUAAUACUCAAAUAAACAUAGCAAAGCCAGCCUUUGUUGUAGGGGCUGGGGAGAAGGGAGAGCAAUUAUAGCUGGAGGCCAGGAAGGCCUUUCUGAGGCGGCAUCAUUUUAACUGAUGAUAGAAUGAUCAAAAAGAGCCAUCCAUGUAUGAAUCACAGAAAGAAUGUUCCAGGUCCUCGGGCCAAGACCAGUGUGGUCUGUUUGAGGAUUCAUGAAUACUACUAUGGCUGGAACUUAAUAGGUGAGAGAGAGAGAGGGUAGGAGAGAACUUGGUCAGAAGUCCAAAAUGGGUCUUACUAGGUGAAAAGCAAGGUGUCAGUUGGAAUGCAUUCCUUCUGGAGGCUCCAGGAGAGAAGCCAUUUCCUUACCCUUUUCAGCUGCUAGAGGCUGUCUCAUUCCUUGACUUGAGGUUCUCUUUCUCCAUCUUCAAAGCCAGCAAAGGUGGGUUGAGACCUUCUUACACUCAGUGGCCUUGCAGAGACCAUUAUUUUUUCAUAUAUUCAUUUUACCUGUAGAAUGUAAGCUCCUUGAGGGAAGGAGACUUUUGUUUGGUUUGCUACAUCCUGAGUGCCCAGAAAGGGUCCGGCCAUGGUAGCUACAAAAACAUCGAUUGCAACCCACAGUUAAUCUGGGCUAGGCUCUGUCCUGGCAUCCAGGGCUGCAGAAAAGACCCAAAUUACUGUUUGCCCUCUGAGGUCACAGGGAAGAAAGACAGACCUUCGGGUUCACAGGAGACUUCACCAUAUGCAGCCAAAGAAAGUAGGGGGCCCUCAGCAGGGGGCUGGGUCUGCUCAUUGGAAGGGUGCAAAUGAAACUUAGUGAGGUGAAUGUUGCUGAGUUCCUGGUAGGGCAGGAAGCUGUGGGUCUGUGGGGAAUGGAGAGGUACCAUUAGGCAGAAGUUGGGAGCCCAGGCUCUGGAGCCCAACUGCCUCCACCACUCACUAGUUACCUGAUGUUGCACCAGUUAUUUACUCUUUAGAGAAGUACUGCCUCCAAAACCUGCAGUAGACAGAUUCUGAUCUAGCAUGUCUAGGCUGGCUAGAAGCCAGUGUAGUUUUCUUUUCUCUCUUUCUUUUUCUUUCUUUCUUUCUUUCCUUCCUUCCUUCCUUCUUUCCUUUUAUAAGCAUCUCCUGACUUAUUAUAGAUGGGCCAUACACCAUGUCUUGCAAAACAUUCAUUUUGCAGGGAGAGAAGAGCAUGCUGAUCAGCAAACUGGAGUGUCAGGCUUGGAUCUCAGUGAAUUUUCAGCGUGAGAUCAUAAAUUGUCAUUCAGGGUUAGACGUUUAGGCAUACCACCCCGUAGGUGCCAUGGACAAGGCUCAGUACAGCAGCCAAGAAUAAUAUCCAACAGGUCCUAUCUCCCCAGGUCAAACCAGGAUAGUCCCCAAGGCAGGUAGUGAGACACUGCAAAUGUUUGUUGAUAGACUGAUGGGUUUUCUGGCUAAGCUCCUCCUGGCUAGCCCCAAGCCCACACAGAGGUUCUGGGUUGAUCACGUGAACCCCAGGAAGGGCCAGGUUAACAUGGGGAUCCUGGAAGCGGUGCCCAGCUCUGGUAUCUCCAUGGCUUGACUUGAACCAAGACUUCACAGCCAGGAGCUCUGAGAAGCUGGAUAUAAAUAAGGCCAUGGAAAUGUGACAGAACCUCUCUUAGCCCUAGUUUAAAUACAUGGCCAGAGUACUACCAGAGCAUUCUUCAUGUAUUCACUCCACAAAUAUUUAAGUACCUGUCUUGUUCCAUGUUAGGCUAGGGACACAGUGGGGAAACAGGUGUCUGUAUUCAGUGACCUUAUAUUCCACAGUUGAGUCAGAUUAUAAACAAAUAAAAUAUAUACAUUAAUAUAAAUGACAGGGAGAUCAUAAAGGAGAGUAAUUGGAUGGAGGGUGAUCAGAGGAGGCUUCUUUGAGGACACGAUAUUUAUCCUAAACCCGGAUGACAAGGAGCCAGCCCUAUAAGAUCUAAGGGAAUCAUAUUCCAAGUGUGGGGGCACAGCUUGAACCAAGGCGCUGAGGUAGGAAAGCAGUUCGAAUGCCUCCACGUUGCCCAGGUCACAUAUUUGUCAAAUGUCAGAACAGGAAUUUGAAUCCAGGGCAAAUGCUAUAGCCUAGAACUCAUAAUGGCUAAAUGGCUUUGUUGAUUUUGACGUGGUUUGGCGCUCCUCCCCCAUUCCUACUUGUCUAAAGCCGGAACUCUUGGGCCCUAAGGCCCCACCUCUCUUUAAUCCAUUAACACGUUCACUGGGCUUGCUGGGCCCUGGUCCCCACCCUCAGGGCUGACCCCCUGGCACAGAACUUGUGUGGGAUUCCUGAGGACUACAGUCUAGGGGUGGUGAGCCAGAUCAGCCGGGCUGGAACCCAUCCUUCCAGGUAACUUUUUCUAGAGGGAAGAGCUCCUGGCCCAGAACUGUGUUCUGUUCCCAGCUGCCUACAGCCUGCCCCCUCCACGGCCCAGACGUCCGCUUGACUCAGCCCGAGGCCUGUGUGGGGGCGUCCUCUGGGCUUCCGCAACAUCCUGUGUUCUGCCUUCUGCUACCUAUUUUCCAUUUCCAGGGAAUCCCUCCCACCAGGGUUUGUUUUUACACCCUGGAGCCAACCAGCCCACAGAACAAUUAAAAUGGCUCCCCUGGGAUCACCCGGAGCCAUUCCUACAUUCCACAGUCAGCCUCGGGCCUCUGGGGUCUGGCUGGAGCCCACCUCCUUCCUUAAGGCCUUGGGUUCUGCUCCUUCUUCAGCCUACAUGUUAGGACCUUCUCUGCCAAAGAGCCUCACUCUGGUCCCCACACCCGGAACUCUUAUUCCGUUGCUGUCUGAGCCCUGGGAGUGGACAUCUGUCAUGUUUGUCUGUCUUGUCAUCCCUUCCGCUGCUUCCUCUGAUGAUAGGCCUCCCUUUCCUCCGCCUAACCAACCCUCCUCCGCUUCGGGCGACUUGAUGGGGCCUCUAAUCACAGAAGAGUCUUUCUCCUGGCUGCCCCUGAUUGGCCCACAUAUGAGCAUGUGACCCAAACCAGGCCAAUUGGAAUUGUUGCCUGGGAUUUUGUGUAUGGAAAGUAGGGAGUAAAACCUCUCACGCCUUGGAGUUUGUCAAACCAACCUGAUGCAAACCCGUCUGGCAGUAUCUGCUUUCCUUCUUCUCCUCCCCUUACCAGUUGGAAUCUCCCCAAGCUACCCAGCCAUAGUGGAAGAAAAUGAGGCCAACACACAGAGAGAAGCAGAGAGAGUGAGGAAGUGAGUUGCUCAUUAUUUGAGUUUUUAGACUAAAGUUCCUGGUCCUGGCCCCACCUUAAUUAAUGAGCCGGAUUUACUUACUUAUUAUUUACUUACUACUUGCUUUUGCUUGAACUAGUUUGAAUUUGGUUUCGGUCGCUUGCAAUAAGCAAACAAGUAGUCAUUCUUAAGGUUCUGUCUUGUACUAUGACAUAAAAAAAUGCCCCCUUUUUGGGGGGGGUCUGUUUGUGCUUCUAUUUUCUGAUAUAAAUGGCAAUCUCCUUCAAAGUAGAAGUUAUUUGCUUAAAAAUGUUCAUUAUGGGAGUUCCCAUCGUGGCUCUGUGGGUUAAGAAUCUGACUAGUAUCCAUGAGGAUGAGGGUUUGAUCCCUGGCCUUGCUCCUCAGUGGUUUAAGUAUCUGGUGUUGCCAUGGCUGUGGUGUAGGCUGG
rnacentral:lncRNA from 1 species